rnacentral:misc_RNA from 1 species
GAUGAAGAACAUAGCGAAUUGCGAUAAGUAAUGUGAAUUGCAGAAUUCAGUGAAUCAUCGAAUCUUUGAACGCAACUUGCGCUCUCUGGUAUUCCGGAGAGCAUGCCUGUUUGAGUGUCAUGAAAUCUCAACCAUUAGGGUUUCUUAAUGGCUUGGAUUUGGAGGUUUGCCAGUCUAACUGGCUCCUCUUAAAGGAGUUAGCAAGUUUGACUAUUGCUAUCUGGCGUAAUAAGUUUCGCUGGAAUGGUAUUGUGAAGCGUGCUUCUAAUCGUCUUCUGGACAAUUUUUUUUUGACUCUGGCCUCAAAUCAGGUAGGACUACCCGCUGAACUUAAGCAUAUCAAUAAGCGGAGGA